rnacentral:rRNA from 1 species
UACGUAGGGUGCGAGCGUUGUCCGGAAUUAUUGGGCGUAAAGAGCUCGUAGGCGGUGUGUCGCGUCGGCCGUGAAAACCUGGGGCUCAACUCUGGGCGUGCGGUCGAUACGGGCAUCACUUGAGUUCGGCAGGGGAGACUGGAAUUCCUGGUGUAGAGGUGAAAUUCGUAGAUAUUGGGAAGAACACCGGUGGCGAAGGCGGCGACCUGGUCCUUUACUGACGCUGAGGCGCGAAAGCGUGGGGAGCAAACAGG